CACAUAGCCAACGGGCAGGAAACAAACUUCCUGCGUUCAGUGCCUCAACAGCAGCUGACAUUUCUUACUGCGCCCAGUUAGCACUUGACUGAGGAGAAAAAAGAGUUGUACACAGGGAUGCCCUUUUGGGCAAGAUAGUGACAGCACCCUCUGCCACCCUCUCCUGUUGGAUCACUGGGGAGAUCUUGGAACCCCAGCUGUCUGAGCCUACCCACAGGAAGUGACCCGUCUGAUUGUUCCGCCUGGCAGCGUCCAGGAUUCGCCUGCAGUGGAGACACAAUAUCAUGCUGGCCUUUCUUUCCAGCCCAACAGCAGUACUGAGGUUGGACAAGGGGAAACUGCACUGUUACACAGCACUGCAUCUCUCAGCGUCGGUCCAAAAAACCAGGGAGAGAAAGAAGAGUUCUGCC